rnacentral:rRNA from 1 species
AUUGAACGCUGGCGGCAGGCCUAACACAUGCAAGUCGAACGAGUGGCGGACGGGUGAGUGGUGUCUGGGAAACUGGCUGAUGGAGGGGGAUGACUGCGGGAAACGGUAGCUAAUACCGCAUAACAUCCGAUGUGCCCAGAUGGGAUGAGCUUGUUGGUGGGGGAACGGCUAACCAAGGCGACGAUCCCUAGCUGGUCUGAGAGGAUGACCAGCCACACUGGAACUGAGACACGGUCCAGACUCCGACGGGAGGCAGCAGUGGGGAAUAUUGCACAAUUGGCGCAAGCCUGAUGCAGCCAUGCCGCGUGUAUGAAGAAGGCUUUCGGGUUGUAAAGUACUUUCAUCGGGGAGGCGUUACCCGCAGAAGAAGCACCGGCUAACUCCGUGCCAGCCGCCGCGGUAAUAC